rnacentral:rRNA from 1 species
AGGGUUUGAUUCUGGCUCAGGAUGAACGCUAGCUACAGGCUUAACACAUGCAAGUCGAGGGGCAGCAUGAGCUCAGUUAUUCUGGGUUUGAUGGCGACCGGCGCACGGGUGAGUAACGCGUAUCCAACCUGCCCUUUACUCGGGGAUAGCCUUCUGAAAGGAAGUUUAAUACCCGAUGAAUUCGUUUAGUCGCAUGGCUUGAUGAAGAAAGAUUUAUCAGUAAAGGAUGGGGAUGCGUCCCAUUAGCUUGUUGGCGGGGUAACGGCCCACCAAGGCGACGAUGGGUAGGGGUUCUGAGAGGAAGGUCCCCCACAUUGGAACUGAGACACGGUCCAA